rnacentral:rRNA from 1 species
GAUGAACGCUGGCGGCGUGCCUAAUACAUGCAAGUCGAGCGAACAGAUGAGGAGCUUGCUCCUCUGACGUUAGCGGCGGACGGGUGAGUAACACGUGGAUAACCUACCUAUAAGACUGGGAUAACUUCGGGAAACCGGGGCUAAUACCGGAUAAUAUAUUGAACCGCAUGGUUCAAUAGUGAAAGACGGUUUUGCUGUCACUUAUAGAUGGAUCCGCGCCGCAUUAGCUAGUUGGUAAGGUAACGGCUUACCAAGGCAACGAUGCGUAGCCGACCUGAGAGGGUGAUCGGCCACACUGGAACUGAGACACGGUCCAGACUCCUACGGGAGGCAGCAGUAGGGAAUCUUCCGCAAUGGGCGAAAGCCUGACGGAGCAACGCCGCGUGAGUGAUGAAGGUCUUCGGAUCGUAAAACUCUGUUAUUAGGGAAGAACAAAUGUGUAAGUAACUAUGCACGUCUUGACGGUACCUAAUCAGAAAGCCACGGCUAACUACG